rnacentral:lncRNA from 1 species
CCGUCCAAGACCAGCCCCAUCUAGACCGGCCUCACCUCCAUUCCCGUCUCGAUCCUAGCCAAGAGCAAUUUGCUCUCGCACCCAGCCCAGAGCAAUUUGCUCUCUGCAGUCUGCACUCAUCUUCCUCUAGCGGACACACAGCAGCACACCAUCGGCCUCCCAUCAGGAUCUUUCUUCCGACCGCGAACCCAGCUGCAACACUGCUGCUACUGCAACCCCCGAGCCUCACCUAGCCCCUGCGCAGCCCACACAGGCCUGCAGCACUGGCCUGCAUCGCCUCCCUUGCACGGAGCACUACACCGGAGCCUCACCUGCAGCCCAUCUCCGACGCCUCAGCAACAACGUUCGGCGACCUCAGCGACGAUCUGCACGCUGGACGAAAUCAGACCCAGACUGCCUGCAACCUGCGGCACCAGACCUGACCGAAUCAGUCGCCAUCUCGACGUCGACAACCGGACCUCCACACCACCAGAUCGACCUCGAUGCAGCAGCACUGCC